GGCGUAUCGACUGCGCCUUCAACCUGCAAGCCUUGGUUAAUUUUAUAUUUAAUCUCCACUUAAUCUCCAUUCUAUCACAUUAAUCAAAUUAGAGAAUAACUUAUAUUCCAUGAGGAAACUGAAAUACUUUCUUCUGUGAUCUCACGAUCUUUGUUUUCGUUUUUGUUUUUAUUUUUUCGAAUUUUUGUUGAUUUAUCCGUACGAGUAAAAUCUGAUGAUCUCAAGUGCCGUUGAUUAAGUUUAGAGGUAGAAGCUGUGAACAACAUUUUUUGGGAUUUAAUAUCAAGACCGACUAAGGAUUGAUUAUAUUUUAUUUCCGUUAAGUGAACCCGCGUGAAGCUAGAAAGUUUUAUAUAUUGCAAAUGAUUAAGCAUGAACAAGAUUCUGAUGUUGUUCAGUGGGGUCUGCAGUUGUUUGAAAGCAAUCCCUAUUCUAAUUUGAUGUAUUGUGACACUGCUACACAAGAUGAUGUUGAUUAUCAUGCUGAGCAGCUUUUCAAGGAAGGCUAUUAUGAUACAGUAUAUUGCACUGUAGAGCAUGAUGAGCUUAUUGCACAUGCUCUUCAAGAAGAACUAUCACAACUCUCAGUUGCAGAAGCUCCCGAAUCUCCACAUGAAGAGGAUGAACAUUUGCAAGUUUCUUCUUUCCAACCAGAUUGGCAUGGUCAAUCUACCGAGAAUUAUGGUUCUGGGCAGGAAGGUGGUCAGGAAGAGGCAGAUGAUGUGGGACCUUCUAGUUCAUGCUCUAGCCCUCGAGAAAAUUCUUACUCUGUGGAAGACUGGUCAUAUUCACGGGAGCUAGCAGAGGAGUAUGAUUUUGAUGGUGAAGUGGGAAAAUGGUUGAAUGAAAUGGUCCCUAUUCCUGUAAGUGAAGUAUGAAAGUAAGGUUGCUGUGGUUUCUAUCUCAUAAAUGAUUCUCUCAUUUUUCUAAUGGCUUGCACCCCUUUGAUCCCUUCGAAUCUGUCCCAUUGAGAAAAGGUAAAGUCACCAAUGUGCUUUAGGUUGCACCACAUUUUCAUAAUACAUUUCAGCAUUGUGGGAUUCUUGUUUUGGCAUCUCAUGUCAUAUGAAGUUCUUUCAAAUUGUUGCUUUUUUUAUUUACAUUCAGGGUGCUUUUUGCAUGUUGGUUUUGUAUUUAGUAUUUGGGAUGAUAUUUCUUCAGUGGUGGUCUCUCAACUUUUGACCACCACUACGUUGAGAGUUAAUACUUAAUCCAUGGUGCAUCUUUAAGAGGUCUGGUCCCUUCUGUAAAUUCUAUUGUUCUCCAUCUGAAACUUAUAUAGACUUGGUUUCACUAUCAACAAAUGCCUUGAUUACGAUAAAAACUGAAAAUGAAAUGCACACUUAGAGAUGAUACAUGUUUCCUGCAGGCAUGUAGAAUAUUAAUUGCAUGUAUUGGCCUCUUAAUAAUUAGAUAUCCUAAAACUGGGUUGUAAUCUAUACCUUGAUUUUUAUGGCUGGCUUUUUGCAGCAUGUUCCUAGAAUCAAUGGAGAAAUACCCUCAGUUGAUGAAGCAACUUUAGAUCAUCAAAGGCUAUUAGACAGGUAGCCUGUCUUUAUUUUUGGAUGCAUAAUUUUGAAUAUGCUUAUUCUCUUUUGUAAGCCUUCCUUUUCCAUUUUUAAGAUCCUGUAUCAUGCAAUUUCCUCAAUGCAUCAGCAAAUUAUUUCUGUGGUUACUUGAUGUUUGAAUCAUACAAUUAUGGUUUUUCAGUUCAUUGGACAUUGGUGAGCUAUAAAACAGGGAUAUCUUUUCCUUUCCAAAUGGGAAUUACAUGAUUAUAGGAAUGCCUUUUUUCCUCAGAUUGCAGGUAUAUGAUUUAUUUGAGCGUAAAGUUCAAGGAGAUGGUAACUGU
rnacentral:misc_RNA from 1 species